UACGUAGGGGGCAAGCGUUGUCCGGAUUUACUGGGCGUAAAGAGCGUGUAGGCGGCCACGCAGGUCCGUUGUGAAAACUGGAGGCUCAACCUUCAGACGUCGACGGAAACCGUAUGGCUAGAGUCCGGAAGAGGAGAGUGGAAUUCCUGGUGUAGCGGUGAAAUGCGCAGAUAUCAGGAAGAACACCAAUGGCGAAGGCAGCUCUCUGGGACGGUACUGACGCCGAGACGCGAAAGCGUGGGGAGCGAACAGG
rnacentral:rRNA from 1 species